UGGCUGUAACCGAACAGAGCACAUCUAUGGGAGCAGAAAGUGACAGGGCAUGACUGCUGUGGACUCUAGGGCAGCUUUGAUCUGGCCUUGAACUAGUUGGAUGCCGGGUCAAGUGCACUUCAACUGGGGACAUGGUUCUCCAUCUGCCGAAUGGACACAGGAAUGCCCAGCCCCUCCAGACCCAGGCUUCUUCCCCAGCCCUGGAAAGAAAUGCCAUCACGACUUUCC
rnacentral:lncRNA from 1 species